AAUAUUGGACAAUGGGCGCAAGCCUGAUCAAGCCAUGCCGUGUGUGUGAUGAAGGCCAUAGGGUUGUAAAGCACUUUCACCGAAGAAGAUAAUGACGGUAGUCGGAGAAGAAGCCUCGGCUAACUGCGUGCCAGCAGCCGCGGUAACACGAAGGGGGCUAGCGUUGUUCGGAAUUACUGGGCGUAAAGCGCACGUAGGCGGACAUUUAAGUCAGGGGUGAAAUCCCAGAGCUCAACUCUGGAACUGCCUUUGAUACUGGCGAUCUUGAGUAUGAGAGAGGUAUGAGGAACUCCGAGUGUAGAGGUGAAAUUCGUAGAUAUUCGGAAGAACACCAGUGGCGAAGGAGACUCUCUGGACUGCAACUGACGCUGAGGCACGAAAGCGUGGGGAGCGAACA
rnacentral:rRNA from 1 species